rnacentral:tRNA from 1 species
GGGGGAUUAGUCUAAAAAAAACAGUUAAUUUCGACUUAACAGAUUUUGGUUUAAUCCCUUAAUCCCCUU